rnacentral:rRNA from 1 species
AUGCCACCAAUUUGUAAAUGGAUACUCUCAGUACUUAACAAGGCUAUUGGGAAGACUGCCAGCUCAUUAGAAGCAUAUAAAUUCACAGAUGCAACAUCUGCUAUAUACUCAUGGUGGCAGUACCAACUAUGUGAUGUAUUCAUAGAGGCCAUAAAACCGUACUUUUUCAAUGACUCUCAAGAGUUCGAAUCAAUUUGCCUGGACACCGACUUGCGCCUGCUUCACCCAUUUGUGCCCUAUGUAACAAAAGAGUUAUGGCAGCGGCUUCCUCAGCCCAAAGAUUCUUGCAAGAAAGGUUCCAUCAUGUUAUCAGAAUACCCAUCUGUUGUUAAACACUAUUCUUUAUCACAAGAAUGGGCAUAUGAUAACCUUGAAAACGAAAUCGAUAUGGUCCUGGACAACUGCGAACAAACUAAGAUCCCUAAGGCCACCAACGAUUACAAAUGA